ACACCUACGGGUGGCAGCAGUGAGGAAUAUUGGUCAAUGGGCGGAAGCCUGAACCAGCCAUCCCGCGUGCAGGAAGACGGCCCUAUGGGUUGUAAACUGCUUUUCCAGGGGGCGAAACUCUCCGACGUGUCGGGGUUUGACGGUACCCUGGGAAUAAGCAUCGGCUAACUCCGUGCCAGCAGCCGCGGUAAUACGGAGGAUGCGAGCGUUAUCCGGAUUUAUUGGGUUUAAAGGGUGCGUAGGCGGAUUAGUAAGUCAGUGGUGAAAACCUGCAGCUUAACUGUAGACUUGCCAUUGAUACUGUUAAUCUUGAGUGUGGUCAAGGAAGGCGGAAUGUGUAAUGUAGCGGUGAAAUGCUUAGAUAUUACACAGAACACCGAUUGCGAAGGCAGCUUUCUGGGCCAUUACUGACGCUGAUGCACGAAAGCGUGGGGAUCGAACAGGAUUAGAUACCCUGGUAGUCCACGCCGUAAACGAUGAUCACUAGCUGUUGGCGAUAUACAGUCAGCGGCAAAGCAAAAGCAUUAAGUGAUCCACCUGGGG
rnacentral:rRNA from 1 species